GGUGCAGUAGUUCACUGGUUAAAAUGCUGGACUUUUGAUCAAAAGGGUGCAAGUUCAAAUCUUACAAUUGGAUCA